rnacentral:tRNA from 1 species
GGCCCCAUAGCAUAACUGGAUAGUGCACCUGACUACGAAUCAGGAGGUUGCAGGUUCGAAUCCUGCUGGAGUCA